rnacentral:rRNA from 1 species
AUACGGAGGGGGCUAGCGUUGUUGGGAAUUACUGGGCGUAAAGCGCGCGUAGGUGGUUUAUCAAGUCAGGCGUGAAAGCCCUGGGCUCAACCCAGGAACUGCGCUUGAUACUGGUUGACUAGAGGCCGGGAGAGGGUAGUGGAAUUCCCAGUGUAGAGGUGAAAUUCGUAGAUAUUGGGAAGAACACCGGUGGCGAAGGUGGCUACCUGGACCGGACCUGACGCUGAGGUGCGAAAGCGUGGGGAGCAAACAGGAUUAGAAACCCCGGUAGUCC